GACUAUAACCCCUACCCAAAUCCCAAAUCAAACUAACUGGGACAUGGUCACUUAAGGUUAUGUUAUGUAUUUUACAAUCUAGGACUCUGUAAGACUCAUUUUUAGCAACAAAGAAAUAAUCAAUCCUGCUAUAUGAGGAGUGUGGGUUUGAAUAGAACAUGUAAUCCCAGAUCCUUCACCAUUUGUUUUAGAAUCCUACUGGUCCCUGAAAGCGUGGCAAAUGAUGGUGGGUUUUUAUCCAUCCUAUUUGACAAAAUGCAAUUAAAAUUACCUCCAAUCAAAAUGAUUCCUUUAGCUUUUUCUAUAAUCAUUUCACUAAUUUUCUUAAAAAAUUUAGGAUUGCUUUCAUUUGGAGCAUAGAUAUUCAGCAUAGAGACAUUCACACCACAGAUGGAUCCAUUUACCAAAAUAAAUCUCCCUUCUUUAUCAGUAAUUUCUGAGUGUAAACAAAACUGCAGUGAACUGUGCAACAAUAUUGCCACUCCACGCCUUCUCCCUGAACCAUGAGAUGAAAAAUACACUUGGCUGGCCCAUGACCUUUUAAGUUUCAUAUGUUAAGAGUCUGAUAGGUGGCUUUCUUGUAUAAAGGCUAUAGUACAGUUAAGAUGUUUAAGCUCAUUGAGAAUUUUUUUCCUUUUUAUGGGGUUAUGUAAGCCCUUAACAUUAUAGCUAAUUACUCUUAUGCUAUCCAUUAACGCUUACGUAUGCAAACCAUUUAUCACACAUUGCAGUUCUUUUAUGUUCUUGGGGCUCAUUGUUAUACAUAUCCUAUGUUGUAAAAUAAAACAUUAACACGAACACUGUAACUAUAUACAUGAUAACAUUUUGCAUCCAGACUUCCAAUUUAUUCACCCAUAAACAUAUGAGUUUUCCUUGCAGUAACAUUAACAAAACCAUAUAAAGCACUUGAGAGAAAAUGUUUUGCAAGGAAGUGAAGGAUUAUCCAGAACCUCCAUAAGACUGGGCCUUGACUGCAAGUUCGUUAUUGCAGUCCCGCAGUAAAUCUGUGUCCCCUCCGACCAUCACAGAUGUCCUGCGUUUAUGUCUCCCACUCUCAUCGCCAGAAUUUUUGAAAUAAAAAAAAAUAGAAAAAAUAAAAAUAAAAAAUGAUCCUUUAUCCGCCAAUGAAGAGGAUUUAGUGCCAUUGCCUUUACACCCAUAAAGUCAUCCAACAAGUUAGAAACCAAUGAAAAAUGCCUAUGAAAACAGCAAGUAGUAGCUUACCUCCCUAAUAUAGUCGAGCAGCAAGUUAUUAUUACGGGAGAGCAGGGAAGAAAGUGAGCAGCAGAAAAACGUCAUGAAAGAGAUGUCACCAUAGCUUCAUCAUGCGUCCCCUCCCAGACCAUUAAUGAACUUAUAGACUGCAGUAGGCGUGUUGAAAGUGUGUGUGCGUCCUUCGUGGGUCACAAGCAACUUGGCUGGAAAAAGCAUCCUGUGUUUGUCAACUCCCUUCUCCCUCAACUUCUGUCGCACUUCAUAGAAGUCUCGCUGUUUUUUAUAUACUUCAACCGAUAGAUCCGGGGGGAACCUGAUGCUGUUAUUCUUGUAGAUCAACUGGCCUUUUGCUCUUGAUGCUCUCCAUAUGUGCUCCUUGUCUCGAUGGUUUAGAAACUUCACAAUGAAGGUUCGCGGGGAGGAAGUGGGGGCGCUCGUCGAUCCGGUAAUGCGAUCAUCUGCCUUCGUGUCCAAAAACUUCACCUUUCUUUCCAAUGCGCUGACUUUUGUCUGCAGGCCGCUAAUUGAAUCCUCCACCGAGGAUACCCGCUCUUUAGCCUGUGUGAUGCGCCCGUUGCACUCGUGUAUGUUCGCCUGAACAUCCUUAAUAGCUGUUAACACACCACUAAUUUCUGUAUGAAAUUCAUGUUUGAGGGAUUUGAUGGCUUGCAUAAUAUCAGCCCUGGUUACAUUGUUCACCUGCGCGCUGUCCGUGUCCACCGACAUGGCGUCUGCUUCACUGUGUUCGGGUUCUGAGACACUGUCCUCGCUAGCUUGAAAGUCCAGAGAGUUUUUUUAUACUUGUUCUUUGAUACUCCCCUGGGCAUGUUUAACUUGCAAUGACAUUAGGUUGACUUUAAGUUGUUUUAGAAUAGGAGUUGGGUGGUUUUGCAGCGAUAAUCUGAAGUUCAGCGACAGAGGGCGGAGAAAUACUUGGCUGUAUGUCACGUCACUUUCACUUUCUAUAUAAUCAUGUAUGUGAUGAAUAAAAAUCUUGAAUCUUGUUUACCAGUUCUAUUGAUCAAUAUUACAAUUGUAUGCAACUAACAAAUCUGUAUACUGUCG
ensembl:lncRNA